rnacentral:rRNA from 1 species
AUUGAACGCUGGCGGAAUGCUUUACACAUGCAAGUCGAGCGGCAGCGCGGGGGCAACCCUGGCGGCGAGCGGCGAACGGGUGAGUAACAUAUCGGAACGUACCCAGUCGUGGGGGAUAACUAUCCGAAAGGAUAGCUAAUACCGCAUACGACCUGAGGGUGAAAGCGGGGGGACCGUAAGGCCUCGCGCGAUUGGAGCGGCCGAUAUCGGAUUAGCUAGUUGGUGAGGUAAAGGCUCACCAAGGCGACGAUCCGUAGCUGGUCUGAGAGGACGACCAGCACACUGGAACUGAGACACGGUCCAGACUCCUACCGGGAGGCAGCAGUGGGAAUUUUGGACAAUGGGGGCAACCCUGAUCCAGCAACGCCGCGUGAGGGAAGAAGGCUUUCGGGUGUAAACCUCUGUCCUUGGUGACGAAACAAUGACGUAGCCAAGGAGGGAAGCCCCGGCUAACCGUACGUGCCAGCAGCCGCGGUAAU